rnacentral:lncRNA from 1 species
UUGGCCAGCCUAAGGGAGUUAAUUCCAUUGGUUCAUGCUGUGUUUCUCCACACAACAUGUAGAGGCACUCCAUAAAUCCCCGCACUUCUCUGCACUCUUAUCUGAAUGGUAAUGCAGUUAUUAAACAAAGUAAGAAGGAGGAGGAGGAAAAGAAGAAGAAGAAGAAGAAGGAGAAGACGACAACGACGAUGACGAAUGGAACAGGCAAGCUGGCCCAGGGAACUUUCCCACAGGGAGGGCAAAACAUGGUCUGUGCAAACCUCAAGAUCAUAAAGAAGAC